CAUGUGGUCCGCCAAGGCACCAUAACCACUACAUAGAUUUGUAGUGGUUAUGGUACUUUGGCUGCUACUUUA